rnacentral:tRNA from 1 species
GGGCAUGUAGCUCAAUUGGCAGAGUAGCGGAUUCCAAAUCCGUUGGUUGUGGGUUCGACUCCUACCUUGCCCGCCA